CCUACGGAGGUCGAAGUGAGGAAGAGUGGUCAAGGGACGGAAGUCGGAACCAGACAGGGCGUGUGGAGGAAGACGGCUCUAUGAGUUGUAAACUGCUUUUGUACAAGGGUAAACCUGAAUACGUGUAUUCAGCUGAAAGUACUGUACGAAUAAGGAUCGGCUAACUCCGUGACAGCAGCCGCGGUAAUACGGAGGUUCCAAGCGUUAUCCGGAUUUAUUGGGUGUAAAGGGUGCGUAGGCGGAUUGAUAAGUUAGAGGUGAAAUGUCCGAGCUUAACUCGGGAACUGCCUCUGAUACUGUUGAUCUGGAGAGUAGAUGCGGUAGGCGGAAUGUAUGGUGUAGCGGUGAAAUGCUUAGAGAUCAGACAGAACACCGAUUGCGAAGGCAGCUUACCAAUCUAUAUCUGACGUUGAGGCACGAAAGCGUGGGGAGCAAACAGGAUUAGAUACCCUAGUAGUC
rnacentral:rRNA from 1 species